UACGUAGGGGGCAAGCGUUGUCCGGAUUUAUUGGGCGUAAAGAGCGUGUAGGCGGCUUUACAGGUCCGUUGUGAAAACUCGAGGCUCAACCUCGAGACGCCGGUGGAAACCGUAAGGCUAGAGUCCGGAAGAGGAGAGUGGAAUUCCUGGUGUAGCGGUGAAAUGCGCAGAUAUCAGGAAGAACACCAGUGGCGAAGGCGACACGCUGGGCCGUACCUGACACUGAUGCGCGACAGCAUGGGGAGCAAACAGG
rnacentral:rRNA from 1 species